rnacentral:tRNA from 1 species
UCCCUGGUGGUCCAGUGGAUAGAAAUCUGCCUGCCAAGCAGGGGACACAGGUUCAAUCUCUGGCCGGGGAA